rnacentral:rRNA from 1 species
GAUGAACGCUAGCGGGAGGCCUAACACAUGCAAGCCGAGCGGUAUUUGUCUGUCGGGACAGAGAGAGCGGCGUACGGGUGCGGAACACGUGUGCAACCUGCCUUUAUCAGGGGGAUAGCCUUUCGAAAGGAAGAUUAAUACCCCAUAAUAUAUUGAAUGGCAUCAUUUGAUAUUGAAAACUCCGGUGGAUAGAGAUGGGCACGCGCAAGAUUAGAUAGUUGGUAGGGUAACGGCCUACCAAGUCAGUGAUCUUUAGGGGGCCUGAGAGGGUGAUCCCCCACACGGCUACCGGGACACGGACCAGACUCCUACUGGAGGCAGCAGUGAGGAAUAUUGGACAAUGGGUGAGAGCCUGUUCCAGCCAUCCCGCGUGAAGGACGACGGCCCUAUGGGUUGUAAACUUCUUUUGUAUAGGGAUAAACCUAGAUACGUGUAUCUAGCUGAAGGUACUAUACGAAUAAGCACCGGCUAACUCCGUGCCAGCAGCCGCUGUAA